ensembl:misc_RNA Metazoa_SRP Metazoan signal recognition particle RNA
GCCGGGUGCCGUGGCGGGCACCUGUAAUCCCAGCUACUCGGAAGGCUGAGGCAGGAGAAUGGCUUGAACCCAGGAGGCAGAGGUUGCAGUGAGCCAAGAUCACGCCACUGCAUUCCAGCCUGGGCAACAGAGUGAGACUCUGUCUCAA